CCUACGGGUGGCAGCAGUGGGGAAUAUUGGACAAUGGGCGAAAGCCUGUUCCAGCCAUGCCGCGUGUGUGAAGAAGGCCUUCGGGUUGUAAAGCACUUUCAGUGGGGAAGAAAGCCUUGGGGCUAAUACCCUCGAGGAAGGACAUCACCCACAGAAGAAGCACCGGCUAACUCCGUGCCAGCAGCCGCGGUAAUACGGAGGGUGCGAGCGUUAAUCGGAAUUACUGGGCGUAAAGCGCGCGUAGGCGGUCUGAUAAGCCGGUUGUGAAAGCCCCGGGCUCAACCUGGGAACGGCAUCCGGAACUGUCAGGCUAGAGUGCAGGAGAGGAAGGUAGAAUUCCCGGUGUAGCGGUGAAAUGCGUAGAGAUCGGGAGGAAUACCAGUGGCGAAGGCGGCCUUCUGGACUGACACUGACGCUGAGGUGCGAAAGCGUGGGUAGCAAACAGGAUUAGAUACCCCUGUAGUC
rnacentral:rRNA from 1 species